rnacentral:lncRNA from 1 species
UUGUAACUCUGAGAAGAAAAGAAAGAUAAAGGGGUGUGAGCUUUAUAGCCCAGUAAGAAUUUCCAUAUCACACUGAUAUAGUAAUAUAGUCUGAAAAUAAGGAUAAGCAAUAAAAUAUAAAAUCUCAUGUUCAAUGUCCAGAAUAAUGCAAACAUUCAUAAAUUUUCUGUCUUGUCAAAAUAGAUGCACCAUCAUAUGUUAACAGGUGAAACACUUUUGUUCAACAAUUGUUUCAUGUCUUAUCUUUCAUUUCUCCUUUCAUAAUCACAUGAUUUUUAAAAGUUUCCUUCUGGCUCUGGACUAUCCAAGUCUAUACCUCAGUCAUCUUCCGGAUUGAAUCCAUUUAAAAAGUCUUUUAAGACUGUCCCAGGAUCAGGUCCUGGCCGGCUGUCCCACGUACCAAAGCCCGUGAGAGGCUGUCCCAGGCAUAAGCUCCUGGCGGGCUGUCCCAGGCAUGAGCUCCUGGCCGGCUGAUCCACUUGUAAGCCAGUGG